rnacentral:lncRNA from 1 species
AUUGUAGAUGCCAUUUCUUCAUUUUCUAUUCAUAUAGACACAUAUAUCCAAAAUGCUGAAAUGGGAAAAAGAAGCAGAGAAAAUCGGUGGAAAAUGAAACAGGAAGAAAGGAGGGAAAAAAAUAAAAAAUAAAAAAAUUGGUGGUGUCGGCCAACGACGCAUAGGAGGGAAGAUACACUUCUUCAAGUAUUGGGUUGUCUUUCAUAUCCUCAUUUCUUCUACAAUCUCAAGUGAGUAAGUUUUAUACAAACUUAGAUUUCUUAUUUUAGCUCAACAAGUGAAAAAUAUGCCCAAUUUCUUGAUGGUCUAGUAUGGAUAAACUAUUUUUUUUAAGCUUUUAAGUUAUGUGAAUCAAAUAUAUAUUAAUUCUGGGGUUCGAACUUUGUGGACGGAAAUUCAGCUAGUAGUUGGGUUAGAAUUGAAAUUUAAAUAAAGAAACCAAAAGGCAAGUGAGGAAUUGUCAAUUAAUGAUUUGAUUGGUACCUGUAUAUGUAUGUGUAUAGUGACUGAAAUUAUUAAAAAGGGAACAUACCUAAUUACAUAGCUUGAUGCAAGUGUGGGAAGUUGUAAACUGGUGAAGAAAGAGAUGAAAUAGUGUUUAAUUGGAAUUAAAUUUAGUUUAAAUGUGGUAAGUUCUUUAUUUAAUUAAUUUUAUUAUUACAGUAGCAAUGAAAAGGGACAAGAUGAAGAGUGUAGAUACAAGAUGUUGGAAGGCAGUAUGUUAUUGUGCUAAUGUAGUAGGGAAAUGAAUGUGGAAGAAGAACAUAUUCUGUAAAUAAAUCGGGCUUCGUAAACAAAAAAAUGUUAUGCUGUAUGGAUAUUAAAAAGGGAAUAAAGGGGUUGCGUAAGGAAUGAAUUAAGUUGUGUAAAGCGGUUAUAUAUUUAUAAGGUAGUGAUUUUAAGAAAGUAUAGUAAUUUAAUGGAUUUGAUUCUGUGUUGUGAUAGUUUGGCAAAUAAUCAAAGAGGAAAAGAGUUGGAGAAAUAGAGGUGAAGGUAGUGACGUGCAAGCUUGGAAAUGCUCGUCAAUUUAAUCAAAUUUCUAUCCAUAAAUCGGUGAGUGGAAAAAUAUAAAUAUUUUUAAAAUAUUUAUAAAUUAAGUAUAUUGUCAAAGUAUGUGCAAUUAUGUGUUCGAAUUAUAUGGUUAUUAUGGAAAUCUAUUUUAUUAUGAUACAUGUGAAAUAUAAAAGAUUAUUUAUGGUAUAUUUGUGACUUGCUAUAUAAGACAUGUGAUAUUGAGAUUUGUUUGGUAUGUGAGACAUGCAAUAUUGAGAUCGGCCAGAAAAGUACCCAUGAUUAUAUAUUUCUUCUAGUUCACAGAGGGGCCUUGGCCGUGUUCUAUCCUACACGGAGGGUCUUGACUUGACAUUGGUCUUGAUCGUGUACAUAUAGUUCACAGAGGGGUCUUGGCCGUGUUCUAGAAUUGAUUAUGAGAGAUCUUUGAGACCGACUUUCGUUCACAGAGGGGGCCAAAGGCCCAUGGCGAAAGUUCUUAGUCCAAGGGGCGGAUUAUAUAUUUCAGUCAGAGGGUACAUUUUUUGUGGAUUUUUAAUGAGAUUAUAGCAUGGUUAUCAACUGAUGUCUAUAUCAUGAUUUUAAGAUGAUAUUUUAUGACCUUAUGUGAAUAUUUCACUUUUUGGCUAUAAUUACAUGAUGGUAGCUUGUGAAUUAUCAAAUGAUAUAAAUUUGAUAUUCGAUAAAAAUAUAUAAAUGAAAAAGUAUAACUAUUUCAAACUUCUCCACUCACUGAGCUAUCAACUCAUAUAUUUUUCCAUCCUUUUUAGCUGGAAGAGCCUAAUGAUUUCAGAAUGAGAGCCACACGACAUGUUGAAUAUUAUAACUCAUAUUGAUGAAGCAUGAAGUAAAUAAUUUGGACCCAUCGCAUAUGUUUUACAUAAGUAUUUGAUUUUGUUGCAUUUUUUGAAAUAACUCAUAGUCAGCCUUGGUGGUGGAUCUGACAUCUAGUCAGCAUCUAUCAUCGGCACACGUCACAUUUCGAGUCCACUAGGGUGAUUCGAGACGGGUCGUGUCAUCUCCUUAAUGCUAUCCCUUGUGCUAGUACUUCAAUUAACUCAGGAUUGAUAGCCUCAUCAUGGAGUGUUUUGAUCAUUAAUAUGUUGUUCAUCAUUGUUAAACUGUUCAAAAACUAUAGUAACAACAACUUUCUCUGAAUGGAUGACCUGGUUGUCUAUAUCACAAGUUAGAAGAACUUUCAUUUAUCAAGAUACCUUUAGUUCCAACAUUAAAAUGCAAGGUCAUAGGAAUUUCAACAAACUGGUUAUUGAGAUUUAUUUUAUACAAGCCAGCGCAUAAAAUACUAGAACCAAGAAAUAAAUUAUUCUUAAACAUACUGAUUCUUUUAUUCCCAAGCUUAAAGAAAUAUCCGUCAACAUCAAGUUUAGAAAUUGAAAUUAAAUUUCUAGAAAUAGAAGGAACGUAAAGUGUCUAAAGCAAAUCUAAAUGAUAAUUAGUAUCUAAAAACAAACAAUAGGUUCCAACAGCAAAAACUAGAACUUUGACCACAUUCUCCAUGACAACGAAGUUUUCAUUUGGACUUAGGAUCUGGUAUGUAAGGAAUCUCUACAUCGUAUAUGAAACAUGAACAUUAGAACCUGAAUCAAACCACCAAGUAUUAGAAAGAAUUUCAGUAAGAUGAGAUUCAAAACAUGCGCAAGCGAAAGGCUUACCUUUCUCUUAAAACCAUGCCUUAUGUUUGGGGCAAUCAUUGCGGCAAAAGUGACAUCUACUAUUGUUUUGCUCUUUCUUGUAAGCCCAGCAACAUUAUGAGGCUCCUUAGCUUUAUGUGUUCCAUGCUUGAUGUCCUCUCUUGGCAUUUUCCUUUCUUUUUGGCUCCAUAAUUUUCAAGGUUGACUAAAUGAUGUCCUCAUUACUUAUAUCUUGUCUCCUCUUGAACAAGUAUACUGGCCAUUUAUUCACGUUCCCAUUUAUCCUUAAUAAUGCUGUUGUGAAUUUGAAAUGACAUAUGUUGAGGAUGCAAGAAAUUCUUAACAAAUUGAACGGGAAAGACUCAUCCACUUUCAUCCCAAGAGCCUCGAGUUUGGCGGCUAGAUUUGUCUUUUCAAUUAUAUGCUCAUGCAUCCCACGGGUAAUAUCGAACUUCAUGUUGGUUAGUUGAGCCAUUGAUGUCCCAACUAGAGACUUGUCAGUAGAUCGAAAAAAUAUUCCAUCAUUUUCAACCAGGCUUAAGUGUCGAAAUAGACGAAUCUAGCUAAUGUUGCAAUACAAGAACUAAGACUACAAAAUAAAUAAACAAAAAAUCUCACAACAUUAAUGCUUUGAGUUAACAACUAUAAAUAUGAACAUGCACAUGAGCAAUUCUACCACAGUCCAACUUUGAGUUCUAAUUAUAGUAUACUAAUUAACAAUUACGGUGACUCCCUUUCACCUAGGAAUGAUCUGUGAUAUUAGGUCCACAAUUUCAAAUAGAUCUGCUACCGAGGUAUCUAAUGCCUACUUGAACUAAAGAUACUCAAUUACUAUCCUAAUUCAGUAAAUCAAUCACCUAGAAGUGGUGCACAUUUGGGCCAAUCCAUAAUAUCUAGUGGUUCAAAAACUGGAAUUUAUAAUUGGAUUAAACUAGUUGUACAUUCCUAGUGUACAGUAAGUUUGACAUUGUGUGAUAUGUAGAAAACUGUGCGUUGAUUUGUAUAAGUAUGGUUUAAAUUAAUGACCAUGAUUGUUGUCAUAUCAAACGAUGUCAAAUAUAAUGUCAAACACAACGUAUAUGUAGCAGAAUUGUUUUUAAUUUGCCAAGGCAUUAUCCUAAUACAUGGGAAAGGGCAAUAUAUGACUUCAUAUCUAUCAAACAUUCAAGUUGGGCCACUUUGGCAGCUACCAAACUAUAUCAUAAUAUAGAUAUUUAGUCAAAAUAAUAACUGUGUACAUAAGAUAAUUCAGCAAUAAUUGUAAUCAUCAAAACAAAGCAUGGCCAUUAUAAUCAAUAGAUGGCAAUGACUGUAAAAGAAUCAAAUCAGUUUCUUGGCAACAUCAUUUGAUAUUGAUAAAACAUACUACCAUAAUUCAAGAGAAAAGUGUAUGCAUACAAAAUGUCAAUUGACCACAAUAUUAAAAAAAAUGCAAUUUGUCAACUCGAUGUUCAGAAUAAGGUGGCCGAAAUAGGAAAAGUCAAUUGACCACAAUAUUAAAAAAAAUGCAAUUUGUCAACUCGAUGUUCAGAAUAAGGUGGCCGAAAUUAAAAAAAAAAAAAAAAAAAAAAAAAAAAAAAGCUGAAUGGCAUGGUGGCUGAUUUUAUUAAUUACAUCAUAGACAAAAUGGCGAUGUAUCGUGAAUCCAAAUAAAUGGAACUAGGAAUGAAAUAAAAAAGAAUUAUUCUUGUUGAAAAGAGCCACAUCACCCCCUGUUUGAACAAAGCCUACGUGACCCUAUUCAUGUAGUACAGGUCAACAAAGAACGGGUGGUUUUCUUCUUUCAUAUUUGAAUAUGUGCAGAAAAACUAAACUUAAAAACUUUACUCUUUCCAAUGAAAAUUCCAAUAACCAAAGAAAGGCACUAAACCAUUCUGUCCGUUAGACUUACUAAACAAUAUGAAUCCAAAUUGAUAAUAGCAAGCUGUCAGAAAUACUCAGUCUCUCAAAAUUCGAUAAGAACAAUGAAAUAAUAAAGCAGAAGUAAACGAGCAAAAAAAAACACCCAUGGGAAUUGCAAAAUGAACUGACCAGCUUAACACAGAGAAAUAGCAAACAGUGUUUCCGAAUGACAAGUCCAUAAGAACCAAUUACUCACGCAAGUUGCAAAUCUUAUUUACAGCAACAACAUAAAUUGAAAAAAUGAGAAUUCAAACCAAGGCUCUGAUAUCACAUGUAAUAUUAACUAUAAUACCCAAGAACGUGAAUAAUCAUGAUUCCCACUUACCAUAAUGCAGAAAGGAAUUGACAUACCUGAUUCCACAAGAGCAACCUUUGGAGAAGAAUGAAGGCACUAGAAUAUAGUUUCUCUCAAUUAAGUUGCACAAGAGUGAUGGAUAAUGUGUCUUUUAUAGGGCAGAGAGAAGACUAGUUUCUUUUUCAUAAUGAUUUUCUCUCCAUCAAAGAUUGAAUCUAAAUGGGAAAUAACAUUAUUAAUUGAUCUAGAAUUUUACUUACACAAACUGUAUAGGAUUGUAACCUUUGACUAAUCCAAAUAAUUAAGUAAAUAUCUGCCACAUCAUGUGGGAUAAUUUCUUACAUGUUGAUCACAAUCUUUGCAAUUAGAAACAUUCAAUGUUAGCAUAAGAUUACUGUAAAUUCCAUUAUACUCGAACUGACAUAGUACCCAACUGGGAUUAACGAACUGCCAAAUUUCUUGCACCCAUCUGCUAGUACGAGGGGCGGACGCAAAGAAUUUGAGUUAGGAAGGCACAAUCAAAAUUUGUACUUGAUUUUGAAUGUUUAAUAUUUGAUCCGAAAAAUACAGAUUUACAUUUAAAAAAUAUUAUUCAUUAAUAUUUUCCUCAUCAUUUUCAUCUAUUUGAUUUUAAACAGUCAUUUUAUUAAUAUUUUGCUCAUCACAAGAAAAUGUAUAUUUAUAUUUUAAAGAAUUGUAUACUGAUAUAAACAAUUAAUUCAAAUAAUCGAAAUGAAAAACAUAAAACCAAUAUUCAAUACUAAUAAUCAGUCAAAUAAACACAAUUUGUUAGUUAUAAGUUAAAUUUUAUAUAAUCAGGUUAGGCAUGUGCUAUAUACAUAAAUAGGAUAGGGGAAAAUGCAAAUUUAGGUUCUAAUUAAUUGAAAAGUGAAAAUUUGUAGUAGAUAUGAUAAUUGUAGAGUAAACAAAUUUUAAAAAAAAAUUAGAAAUGUUAAAAUUUUGGUAAAAGGCGUGAGGGAGAGAAUACGAUAUUUAUAGAAAUCAAAAAGAGAGAAAAUUCAAAUUUAGUGUGAUUUUGCCCUUGUUUGGUGAGGAUUAAAGUCCAAUUUUUAGUAAAUUUUGAUAAAGUUUUAAAAGUUAAGGAAUCCAUGAAAUAUGUUAUUAAAACUAAUUGAACUUUAAUUUAGAUUAAAAUUUCAAUUUCAAUUGAUACCCCCCCAAGACCCCCCUUGGAUUCGCCAAUGGCUGGUACUCGAGACGUUGAAACCGUGACAUUUGUAGAGUUGCUUAAGCAACCAAUCGGGAUAACAUUGUAUCCUGCUGGGUAUGAAUUUACAGGAUAGGUAUAAAAUUUGUAGUUUCCAUAAUAUGUGGCCAUGAAAGGUAAAAAUGAAAGUUUAAUAAAGUUCAUCAUAAGCCUUAUUGGAAUGCAAUUAUUGGGACCAUAAAGGGCUAUUCAUUGGGUGUAGUACUUAAUAUAACACACAUAAAAAUCUCUAGAAAUGGAUUAUUUAGAGUGGGUAUUCUUUAAUCACUGCACGUUAUGUCUGUAUAGGAAUAAUUGUUUCUCGGUUCUAGGCCUUGUAAAUUAAAAGGGUGAUCUAUUUGGAUGUUGCCACAGAAGAAGUAUGAACAAACAUUCUCCGAAUGUAUGAUUGGGAAGGUUAAUGAGAAAAGAAAUAGAAAAAUAUUCCAGAGUGCCCAUAAUAUUUACAGGUAAUUAAGGUUGUAGAGGGACAAUUUCUUAGGCCGGAGAUUGAAAAGAUGAAGAAAAUUUCAAGAUGAGGACUUGCACAAUGGAUAUUAUUUUCGAGGUAAGCGAGACUAUGAAACAGCCUAGCUCAAUAUAAUAUGGUGUGGAUAUGGCUUGGGACAAUAAGCUACAACAAAAGAGGGCUCGGAUUUUCCUAAGUUAAGCUGAUAAUAGACAAAUGAUAUCUGACAAGUACUUCAAGCUGUGAAGUAAGUUUCCUAGUAAUAAAUAAAAAUUUUAUCUUAUAAAGAAAAAAUUUCUUUCAAAUGAGGAGAAUAGAAAUGUGGCAUCAUAAAUAAAAUAAAUAUAUUUCUCUUUUCUAACAAUUUAAACUCUUAAAUGAAGUGAUUCAAGAAAAGAGAAAACCACCAUGAACACGUCAAGUCUUUGAUGUGUGUUGAUGAUAAAAUAUAAAUAAAUUAACUCUUCUCUUCUAAUAACUAACAUUUUAAGUUGAUAAAAUAAUGAAUUAUAUAGGUCUAAAGUGUGAGCAAGAAGUUUUUUAGUUGAUAUCCUUUUCAGAUUUCUAGCACAUUGUUUUCUUUAAAAGCUUCAGCCAUGGAAAAUAAUGAUCUGUAUAUGAAAGCGAGUUACUAAUAUACUGUAACUUUUAUUAUUGAUUGCUAAUAUUUAACACAAUUUUCAUGAGAUUCCACUACAUUACCAAAAAUUGAGGUUACAACCUAUACCAGUCCCAGUGAAGAAGAGUUAUACAUUAAUAACUUAAACAUUCUACAUGGACAGAGAUAUGCAUUAACACACAUCAAAUGGCAGUUGGAAAGAAAAAGUAACAUCCAUUUAGUUGCGCUACACUGUACACGAUGUUGCACAACAUGAAUAUAGCGACUGGUGAAGUGUCUCAGUGUUCCAAGUCUUGACUAGUUUAGUCAAUGAGUUCGAGCUCCAAAAAAAAGCCUAGACAAGUAGAAGUUUCUAGCUUAUGAUCCAAAUAUACGCAUGAAAGGCCUAAAUUGCCCUUUUAAACAACGAAAAAAUUUAUUUAAAACAUCCUAAAUUUCAUCAUUCUUGUUGAACCCCCUCUAACCAAUCCCUUUCACCACAUUGUUGUUAUUUUAAAUUAGUGGAAAUAUUUUCUUAAUAUUUUUAGUCUAUACAGAAACAUUUAGUAAUUGUAAAGUAAGAAUAUGCUAUGCUCUGAUCACAUAAGAAAGUGAAGUUCUACAAAUUGGACAAGUGUUGUUCUUCUUUAACCAUAGAACAAUGCAGUCAUUGUGGAAGGAAUGCCCACAUUUAGCUAUCCUUCUUACUUUUUUUUCAGGAUUGUAUUCUAGGCAUAUUGCACAAGUGCUAUUGCUAUUCCUACUCCCUGAAGUGCUUUAAUUUUUCCCAACAACUACCAAUUCUAUACACAAUUCUAUAUUGGAGUCAUCAAGGCUUGUAAUCACGCUACCUUCUCUCGAUGUUAUUAUUGUGAGCAUGGUGGAUUGUGGCAAAGAAGCGGAGGCGUUAGAGUUGUGAUCUGCUGUUUCAAUGGCCUCAUUUCUUCCAACUGUCAGCUUGAUUAGACGCAUGCAACUUGAUACAAAGAGCAACGCCAGUAGAAGAAAAGAUGGAAUAAAGAAGGGUGAUUGAAAAUAUUCACCGUGAUCCUACUAAACAAAUAAACUCGUUAUUAAAGGUUAGAGAAGAUAUGAACAAAAUGAGUUAGAUCCCUAUGUCGACAACAAUAGAUUUCAUAAACUAUACUGAAUCUCUACCUGUUUCUUGAGGACCUGGUUGUUGACCACAAUCUUAGCAAUAAGAAACAUUCCAUGUCAAUAAAAUAUCACAAUAAAUUUCAUAUAACUGGUACUGACCACGGUACAUGACGGGGUAGACUGAACUACCAAUACUUUUGCACCCAAGAAAUUCAAAUGCUUGUGGUCACAUGUAGCAACAGUUGCAUUUGUAGAAUUGCUUGGGCAGCCAAUUGGUAAAGCAGAGUAUUGCUCUGGGUCUGAAUUUACAAGACAGGUAUAAAAUGUGUAGUUCUCGAAAUAUUCGGUCAUGAAAGGUGAAGAUGAAAUGUUCAUAGAGUUAUUCAUAAACCUUCUUGGGAGGCAAUUUCGGGGAUCAUAGAGUGCUAUUCUUCGGAUGUUGUAGUCGAUAUACCUCACAUAAAACUACCAGAAAAAUGAAGACUUAGAAUAGGUAUUCCUCGAUUACUGCAUGUCAGGUUAAUAUAGGUACAGUUAUUUCCUUGUUCUUGGCCUUUUAAUAUGAAUGGGUAAUAUAUUAGAACCUCUCCACCAAAAGAAGAUGGACAAGCAUACUCAAAAUGGACAAUUGGAAACAUUGACAAAAGAAAGAGAAGAAAUUUGAGAAUGCCCAUGUUUUCCUGCCUUCCAGCUAAUUGCGGAUGUAGAGCGGGAUGGACAAUGCACAGGCAGGCUUCAACUAUAAAUAUGCCCGUGGCAUUUUAUGGGAGGAUGCUAUGGACUUUACAUAGAUAUUUCACAUAGGACGGAUAGAUCUGAAAUAAUGAAUCCCUUGGUUUGUACUAAACAAACAAAUUAGAUGUCUCUGCUAUCCAUGGUCGAAAAUUGUAAUGGAGAAAAUAAUAUAUAUUUAUUUUCCUUGCAAAUUGCAGUGAAAUAAUAGAAGGUUUUGGCAGCGUUAACUAUUGUGUUUUGUUUGGAACCACCAGCAUUGGAUUGUGCAUUUUUUCGAACAUAAUCCCACAAAUAUUGUAUACAGUAGACAAAGAGCAUCUAUACUUGUAACACCCCAAAUCUAGAUACCUAGAUUUAGAAGUGAAAGUUAUACAAUUCGCCCCACAUAACACCUAGAGGGGGGUGCAUAGGUAGUUGCAUGGAAUUUACCAAAUUUCAGUUAAUAAUUGCAUCACAGUAUGAUUAUUAAUUAGUCCAGUCCAAUUCACAUGCAAUGUACCCUAUGUUGAAUUAAUGCAGUAUAAUAAAUUGCUGGAAAGUAAAGAACACAUAAAAUUUGAUGACGGAGAAACCCUAAACUGGGUAAAACUCUAUGCACAAGCCAGUAUGAAUCCACUAUAAAUGAACACAACUUACACCAGACUAAACCAAUACACAUUCUUUCUAUCGUCGUGUACCGCAAUAUUCAAAACCCUCCUGGGUUGCAUGCUCCUGCACCAACUCCCAGAUUUUGAUCUCAUCUAUCUCCAGUGGAUUACCUGAGAAUUCUUCGUUCUCCAACGAUCAGAACUUUGGUUACCUUCCUUGAUCUUCAACUCUUGACAGAUCAUCUGAAAGCUUUUGAUUUUGGAGUUUGAAUUUCAGGUUUUGAUGUUUUUCAAUCACCAAAGUUGAUGAAGAAUGGAUUGUAUAUUUUUUAAGGAUGCAAGUGGUUUGUCUAAUGGACAAUCUAAGCUUUUUUGUGAAACGGCACAGAUACUUAUAUGUGGAAUGUUUUGGGUAGUCUGGAAUUGCUAAAACUCUCAAAAAAAUGAGAAUUAGUGUUUUGCAGGAAAAAUCGACCAUCUAGUGAAAAGCUAGUGGUGAUCUUUCGCUCGACCUAAGGCUUGGCGAGAAGCCAGGGACGUUCUCUAUACAUGUGCCACUCGAGCAGUGUGUUAGCAUGAAUCAAAUGAAAAUGUGGCGAUCCUUCCUUCCUUGUUUUGAUAUUAAACCCUAACCUACCAACAUUUUUUACAAUACUGCAACGACUCCUCGACUUUAACACUGUUUCAAUUUGAACCUUUUUGUUCACAAAACUACCAAUCACAAGUAAACCUAACAAGAAGUAUUAUAAUUUAAUUUCCUCUUAAAACCAUAAAUGCGAAAACUGAUUAUAAAUAUUUCUUUAACAUAAAAAUAUUAACGACUUUCAUUUAAGGAAAGAAUUUUAGAAAACAUUUAUGUUUAAUAAAAAUAUAAGAUGGUCGAAUUAAAUAUUAAACUUAUUUCAACUUGAGUCAACAUUAAAUGUAUCAGUACCGAGUCCGUCUCACCACAAGUAGUCUUCUCGAAUCAUCUUGCCUUCAUCAUCUGAAAUUUGAGAGGAUAACGUGGAAUAAGCUAACGCUCAAUAAGCAAACUUCAUGCAUAUGAUGUAUGAUUGUGAUAUGCACAUGAAUUACUUUAAGAUAAAUGUAUUUCUCAAUAUGUAUCAUAUUUCUUUCAUUUCUUUAAAAACUUAACUUUGACAUCGUGAGCUGACUUGGUGUAUCGCCUAGCCAACCAGAAUGCGGUGCGCAAUUAUUAUUUGGAAUCUGACCAAAUCCUACCGGUGGUACCACAAAGCAGUUAACAUUAACAUUAUCUUUGAAUAUUAAACAUUGAUCAUUGGUCGAGUGCGUCGGUCCCCCAUUAUCAUUGAAUAUUAAACAUUGAUCAUUGGUCGAGUGCGUCAGUCCCCCACGCUCCAUUUCCCACUCACAUCUUUCAUAACAUAGACAUAUACCUUGUAACAAAAUAUUUGGGAUACACAUCUUUUUAAGACAUUCAUUGACUCAUUGACAUUUGAAAACUUUUUUUUUUUUUAAACUUCCUGUAUGCUCAUGGAUGCAUAUGUCAUGAGAAAUUAACUUUUCUUGAAUGGCAAAGUGUGGAUAUCCCUAGCCACCUAUGAAGCCAAUGUACCAAAAUCCGAUUUCAUUACCUUUUAUUUAAUAACUUUGACAAAUUUACAAUUGAAAUGUAACAUGAAUCAUUACUCUAUUAAAUUAACUGAUUUAUUAUUGUUGUUGUAAAAAUAGAAAUAAAACCUACGUGUGAAUAGGAUUGACAUUCCUAUCAAUUUUAAAGUUAAAAUCACUCGUCAUUCAAAUAGGUAAUAAUUUGUUCAAUAAUUAUAAAAAUAAUAGAUUAGUAAUUGUUAAAAUAAUAAAUCCUUAUAUAACAUCUUUAAAAUAAUAAAUCUAUUUUCCUACAAAUUUUAUAUAACUGCACACAAUCUGUGCACACAAAUACAAAUUUAUAGAUAUACUGGCACAUAUAAUGUGCACACACUCAUCUAUACAUAUACAUACAACAUAUAUUUAUAUAUAUAUACACACACGCGCGCAAUCAAUGGCACGCUCAUUUCAUGUAUAAAAUGAAAUAUAAACAUUAUUUUAAUACUAAUCAAAUAAAAUGUCAUGAUUGCUUUUGAAAAAUUAAACAAUUGAGCAAAAUAAUAAAUAAAUUUUCAUACCUUACCACCAUUCUAAUUUUCCAGAAUUCAAAAUGCCAAUUCAUUCAUGAAUAUGAUGGAGCCGAAUUUAACAUGUAAGGCGGUGAAGAAAAUAGGUAAAGUCUUAUUUUCUAACUUAGUGACAAUUAUUAAUUGGCAUAAUUUAUGGAAAUAAAUUUUAACACUCCUUAUUUAUCUUAUUAACUUAUUUAAAUCCUUUAAUUAUUUUAUUGGUUUGAAACCCAUUUUGUUGUUCAAAUAAUAAUUUUAUAUUAAAUUACUCAAAAAUGCACUUAUUGAAAAGAGGAAAUACAUCUAAAUUCAAUACAAAAACAAGAAGAGUUAAGAUCACAUAGUAAACCAAUGUAUUAUGUAAUUUAAUCAUAUUAAGCUUAAGUUAAUAGUCACAUCAAUCAUUUAGAGUGUCUAGAACACAUUUAAUUAUAAAAAAUAUAUAAUUAGUCACGAUAAAUAUAUUUAUAUUAAUUAAGAAAUAAAUUAAACAUUAAUAAUAAUCUAGAUAGACAUGAUAAAUAUGAAAGACAAGCAUGUGUUGUUACAACACUUACUUAGAGAAUGUUUAGUAUGGCCUUAUUCUGGCAUUAAAAGGAAGGAUAGUUGGCAAAAACUAAGUGACUUUCGGAUUUAUGUUUUGAGCUUUCAGUAACAUCUCGAAUUAUUCUGCAUUAAAUGUGUUACAUCUGCUCCCGGCGCGGACGCCACAUAGGUAGGAUCGGACCAUGUGCAAUGAUCAUCACAGCCACGUAUGACUAAUGGAGGACCCAACACCAACCGUUGGCCUACUGACUCAUGGCCAAAGGAAUAACGAACCAAGUUCCUUAAGAUGACCAUUUCGCAUUUCCCUUUUUUCCUUGUUCUUUUUCUAUCAAAGAAAACUUAAAAAUUAGUCUGUCAAAUAUCCAACUAUAUUGACCAUCAUCUGUUAAGUUUCCCCAAAAAAAAGAAAUGCUUUUGAUUGAAGGACUCAAUUGUAGUUGCUCUCAUGCCUUGUAGUUUGGACUUUGGAGUUCUUUUCUGUUACCAAAAUACACGACUUCUUUCAUAUCUUGUGUACGAUGAAGAAAAUUGGUCAGCAGUUCACUAUAAAUUAAAAGGGUAAUUAGCACAAAACGUCCCUACCUUCCGACGUUUUUUUGGAAAACGUCUCUAUCUUUCAUUUUUUGGCGGAUUACACCCCCACCUUUACUUUUUUUUGCGCAAAACGUCCUUCUAUCAACUCCCCGUUAAAAUGCUCCGUUAAAUCAAUGGCUAAUUAGCACAAAAGGUUCCUACCUUUUCAAUAUUAUUGUGUAAAACGUCUAUAUCUUUUAUUUUUUGGCAUAAUUAGCACAAAAAAUCCUUACAUUUCAAUGUUAUUGUGCAAAACGUCCCUACCUUUCAUUUUUCAACAUUUUCACCCCUACCUUUCACCUUUCAUUGGGAUAAUUGGCACAAAACGUCCCUACCUUUCAAGUUUAUUGUGGAAACGUCCCAACCUUUCAUUUUUUGGUAUUUUUGUCCCUACCUUUUACAUUUCUUUGCGCAGAAGGAUUUUUUCAUUAGUUUUUGACAAUUUUACCCUCCAUUCAAAUAAAAAAAAUAAAGAACUAAUUGCAAUAAUAGUCCAAAAAUUUCGAAAAAAUGACAAAUCGGUCACAAUUUAUUGUGAACUGAAAAAUUUUUAAANACAAUCUGAAAAUAUAUUACAAGUAAAAUUCCCGACGCCUUUAAGGAGAUUUUCUUUUUCUGCAUUUUAUUUCUAGUUUAGCGGGCUUGCGUGCCCAUGCAUGUUUUCCGUUCUCUUUUGUAAUGAACUACGUUCGACUUGAUUCCGUUUGGAUACGUAGGCAGCUUGGAUGCAAUAUAAAUCCAAGUCCAGUCCAAACAAUCAAUAAAUCUAAACAUCGGGUAUAACAGCCCCUCCAAGCCUUGUCUUUGACAAGCCAAUAUAAGUCUUGCCCUCAAGCAAGCCCUUUUAAGCCUUGUCUUUGACAAGCCAAUAAAAGUAUUGCCCUCGAGUAAGCCAAUUUAAGCCUUGCCCUCAAGCAAGCCCCUUCAAGCCUUGUCUUUGACAAGCCAAUAAAAAGCCUUGCCCCAGGCAAGCACUCAAAAAGCCUUGCCCCAGGCAAGCACAUUAAAAAGCCUUGCAAGCACUCAAAAAGCCUUGCCCCAGGCAAGCACUCAAAAAGCCUUGCCCCUGGCAAGCACAUCAAAAAGCCUUGCCUCAAGCAAGCACCAAAGCCUUGCCCUACGCAAGCACAAAAGGCCUUGAUCAUAUACUCAAGUGUAAACCAUUAAAGUAUCGCCCAGGGAAAUACAAAAAUCCCACAUUAUUUUGGACACCCUUGAGAAUCUCACAUUACAACCUUUUAAAGUUAGUGUGCUCGAGGAUCACCGUCCUCGAGGAAAUCACAACCCAACUUUUUAAGGUUUAGUUGUGCUCGAGGAUUACAGUCCUCGAGAAUGUCACAAUUUAAAGUUUAGUUGUGCUCGAGGAUUACAGUCCUCGAGAAUGUCACUCAUUUUUUAAAGUUUGGUUGUGCUCGGGACUACGGUCCUCGAGAAUGGCCUCAUUUUUUAAGACUAAUUGUUCUCGAGGUUUACAGUCCUCGAGAAUGUCACAUCAUCAUAUUUUUGUGCUCAAGAAUGUACGUCUCACCUUUUAAUCCCUUAAAUACGCUCGAGUUGUGGAAUCCUCGAGUAAACACUUCAAUAUCGCGUGAGCAGUAAGUUUCGAAUUUG